UCUUCCGGAUCGAUAUUUAUUUAAUUUUUAUAAAAAAAAUUAAAGCUACCUAUCAAAUUAUAGGUGGUCGGAUAAGGACUGUGUCAGUUGGACUCCGAGUUCAUUGCGAGCUACAUGUAAUAUACAGUUGGAAGUAGAUGCUUUCCAAAAUGGACGCCUUGCUGGGAGUACCUCACCCUCUCCCUAGGAUAUGUUUGGCAGAGGAGCACCACAGUAUUCGUCAGUAGGAAAUCCGAACGUAAAUUGACCACACUUAGCGGGGACACACUCGGAUCUCCACUACAAAGAGGAGCACUGCAGCAUUCAAAAGGGGCGAGUUAGACUUGAAGUGACGGCAUCGAGAAAGCAUCGAUCUCUUGCAGGGACGCUAUUUUUCCAAUAUUAUAAAAGAUUACGGCUACUUGGAGUAAAACUGACGUGGAGAAUUUCGUAUACUUCGCCGGGACAGUUGGCGUUUCAAAAUGGCCGCCACGACGGGACCUCCUCCCACCCCAUGAUGUAAAACAAUUUUGAGAGGAGCACCGCAGAAAUCAUAAAUGACGAGACUUGUUAUGUUCCAUAAAUCCAGAAUCCAUGCAUAUAUUACUGACACCUGCAGUUUUUCUGCGGUGACAUCCUGCGCUCCAAGGUGGACGCCUCGCUGGACACCCCGCCCCCUCUCGUAGGACCUGUUUUGCAGAGGAGCAGCGCAACAGUCACAAGUGGGGGACGCUAUUUAUUCAUAAUUAUAAAAUUAUAAAGGGAAAUCUGCAAUUUCGUGUCUGAUUAAAAUAAAGUAACUGAAUCUGAUCAUCGGUUACGGCUACUUGCAGUGAAACUACAGUGCCAGGUGUGAAAAUAAAGAAAUUUCGCGAGGACAAUCUGCGUCCAAAAUGGACGCCACGGUGGGACGCCAUUUAUAAAAACGUAACGAUCGAACCAAGAUGCUCCUUUUUUUGUACAGGCUUCUAAAAGAUUACUGCUAACUAUACAACGAUUACCUAUUAGUGGGGAAAUCUGCGUUCCAAGAUAGACGUGUUGGAUCUGGGUCUCCUCCCACGUCCAGUAGGACCAAUUUUUAUUGGAGUACCAUAGUUUGUGCGGUGAGUGUGUCUAAUGCCAUUGGCGAGGGGGCAAUAAAUUGCUUUUAAAUUGGGUAAGGAAAUGGUGUUAUGGGAUAAUUAUUACAGAAAUUUGUUCUUAUUUUUAGUAGCUAAAUUGUAGUUUUGCAUG
rnacentral:sRNA from 1 species